rnacentral:rRNA from 1 species
CCUACGGGAGGCAGCAGUGAGGAAUAUUGGUCAAUGGGCGCGAGCCUGAACCAGCCAAGUCGCGUGAAGGAUGACUGCCCUACGGGUUGUAAACUUCUUUUAUAGGAGAAUACAGUGCGGCACGUGUGCCUUUUUGUAUGUACUUUGUGAAUAAGGAUCGGCUAACUCCGUGCCAGCAGCCGCGGUAAUACGGAGGAUCCGAGCGUUAUCCGGAUUUAUUGGGUUUAAAGGGUGCGUAGAUGGGUUGAUAAGUCAGUUGUGAAAUUUUGCGGCUCAACCGUAAAAUUGCAAUUGAUACUGGCAGCAUGGAGUACAGUUGAGGUAGGCGGAAUGCGUGGUGUAGCGGUGAAAUGCUUAGAUAUCACGAAGAACUCCGAUUGCGAAGGCAGCCUACCAAACUGCAACUGACAUUGAUGCUCGAAAGCGUGGGUAUCAAACAGGAUUAGAUACCCCAGUAGUC